GCGGCGAAUGCCGACCGGACUACAUGGACUUUUCAUCCCCAGGUCGCGGGUUCGAAUCCCGCCCCGGCUUCGGUCGGGUAGCUCAGUGGUUAGAGCAGGAGAUGUCCGGUCAAUCCCUCGUCGCCGUGAU
rnacentral:Y_RNA from 1 species